rnacentral:tRNA from 7 species
GGGGUUGUUGCGCAGUUGGCUAGAGCGUACGUCUCAUAAUCCUGAGGUCGAGAGUUCGAGCCUCUCUCACCCCA